GAGACCAAAUUAAUUCAGUCUCUAAAUAAAAAAUAAUUAAAACAAAAUUUUUUCUCUGGUAUUUGUAUUGGAACCAAAACUUUACUUUCACUUGAAAAAUCCCUCCAACUCCAAAAUUUCCCUAAUUUCCAUUUUCACUUCCCCCCAUCAUUUCCCUCUCAAAUAAAAUUUCCCUAAUUCGAUUUUGACAAAACCCUAACUGCAAUUUCAUUUCCACAAAGAAGACCUAAUUCCAUUUCACAUUCGCUCUUAAGCAAAACCCUAAUUUCAUUUUUGUGUUCUUCUAGUGUUUCUGUUGUUCGUUUUUGCUCCCGAAUUUUUCUUGAUCUAUCGUUCAUCUGGGUUACUUUCGUUCGUCUAGGUUGCUUUCUUUCAUUUGGGUUCCUCUCAUUCUUGUGUUUGUCUGGCUUCCUUUCAUUCAUUUGGGUUCCUCUUGUUCCAUUUAAUUCUUGUGUACCUUUCGUUCCUCUAAUCAAUUCAAUCUUUUGUUGCUACUCUUAAUUCACAUUCACUCCUAAUUUCAUCACCACCUAAUACCCAUUUUCCACACACAAUGACACUAUUGGGCUCAGUCUUUCAAGUAUCUAAUUCGUUGAAAUAUAUUCCAAAGAAAGGUAUCUAAUUUGUUUGUUUGUUUGUGUUUUGUGCUAGGAUUGCUUCAUAUGUUGAUUUGUCAUCUCAGGAUAAAGAGGAUGGAUAUUAGCUUAAUAGGUAUUUUAUUCAUUUGAUUUGAUUUCUCUAUUACUACAGUUUGUUCUCUACAGUAAUUUAUCCGCUUUUCUUCCUGCUAUGUUAUGAAUUGAUUUCUUUGUUGGUUUUAUUUUCCAUUAACUUUUGAUGUACGUUCUUUCAUUUUUGUAAUCAAAUUAAGAAAUGUUGGCACUAAAAGGGGCGUGAGUUUCAUUUGUAAACUCAUUGCCUAUGUAUGACAAUGUGACAUUUGACAAACUCUUAGCUACAACUAGUUGGCUAAGUUGUGUUUUAUGCACCAUUGCAGCAGAACGUUGAACUCUAUGUGUUGAACCGGAACUUGUGAUUUACAAUUCAUAGCCACAGUAGAAUUUAGAGUUAUCAUGGUGGUGUUGAAAAAUUUGGGGUGAUACAGGCCUUUGAUCCUAACACAAAUGCAUUUAUAAUUUAUAUUUAUAAUAUGCUUUACUAUAUACUCUAAUAUAUAAGUUGGUUUUUGUUUUGUUAAAUUCUUGCUUCAGCUUCACUGAUUGUGAACUUAUAAUCAUGUGUAGCUAAAUCAUUUGGUUGUGGCAGUAGUUGUAAUUGAGCUUGAGUAAUAAUCCUGUUGGAUAGGGGCACAUCUAACUGUACCAUGGUAUAGCUUGAAGAUAACUUAAU
rnacentral:lncRNA from 1 species